ACACGUGAGUUCAGUAGUUUGAUCCUGGCUCAGGACGAACGCUGGCGGCGUGCCUAAUACAUGCAAGUAGAACGCUGAGGAGAGGAGCUUGCUCUUCUUGGAUGAGUUGCGAACGGGUGAGUAACGCGUAGGUAACCUGCCUUGUAGCGGGGGAUAACUAUUGGAAACGAUAGCUAAUACCGCAUAACAAUGGAUGACCCAUGUCAUUUAUUUGAAAAGGGGCAAAUGCUCCACUACAAGAUGGACCUGCAUUGUAUUAGCUAGUAGGUGAGGUAACGGCUCACCUAGGCGACGAUACAUAGCCGACCUGAGAGGGUGAUCGGCCACACUGGGACUGAGACACGGCCCAG
rnacentral:rRNA from 1 species